UAGAGUUUGAUCAUGGCUCAGAACGAACGCUGGCGGCGUGGAUAAGACAUGCAAGUCGAACGAUCAUUGGCGGGUAGCAAUAUUCGACAAUGGUAGUGGCGUAAGGGUGCGUAACACGUGGGCAAUUUGCCGCGAGGACUGGGAUAACCUUCCGAAAGGUCGGCUAAUACCGGAUGUGGCUGUCUGAGGGAUUCCUCGGGCAUUCAAAGUUGGGGACCGCAAGGCCUGACGCUUCGCGAUAAGCCCGCGACCUAUCAGCUAGUUGGUGAGGUAACGGCUCACCAAGGCUAAGACGGGUAGCUGGUCUGAGAGGACGACCAGCCACACUGGAACUGAGACACGGUCCAGACACCUACGGGUGGCAGCAGUCGAGAAUUUUUCACUAUGGGCGCAAGCCUGAUGGAGCGACGCCGCGUGGGGGAUGAAUGGCUUCGGCCCGUAAACCCCUGUCAUUUGCGAUCAAACCUCGUUGUUUAAGAGACGGCGAGCUGAUAGUAGCGAAAGAGGAAGGGACGGCUAACUCUGUGCCAGCAGCCGCGGUAAUACAGAGGUCCCAAGCGUUGUUCGGAUUCACUGGGCGUAAAGGGUGCGUAGGCGGUCGGAUAAGUCUGAUGUGAAAUCCCGGAGCUCAACUCCGAAACUGCAUCGGAAACUAUCUGGCUGGAGGAAUGGAGGGGAGACUGGAAUGCUCGGUGUAGCAGUGAAAUGCGUAGAUAUCGAGCGGAACACCAGUGGCGAAGGCGAGUCUCUGGACAUUUCCUGACGCUGAGGCACGAAAGCCAGGGGAGCAAACGGGAUUAGAUACCCCGGUAGUCCUGGCCCUAAACGGUGCGCGUUUGCUGUGAGAGGAUUCGACCCCUUUCGUGGCGAAGCUAACGCGUUAAACGCGCCGCCUGGGGAGUACGGCCGCAAGGUUAAAACUCAAAGAAAUUGACGGGGGCCUGCACAAGCGGUGGAGUAUGUGGCUUAAUUCGAUGCAACGCGAAGAACCUUACCUGGCCUUGACAUGCAUGUAGUAGAACCCUGAAAGGGGGACGAGGUAGCAAUACCAGCAUGCACAGGUGCUGCAUGGCUGUCGUCAGCUCGUGUCGUGAGAUGUUGGGUUAAGUCCCGCAACGAGCGCAACCCCUGUAUCCAGUUGCCACCCGGCUGAGAGGCUGGAGCACUUUGGAUAGACUGCCUCGCUUCAACGAGGAGGAAGGUGGGGAUGACGUCAAGUCAGUAUGGCCCUUACGGCCAGGGCUGCACACGUACUACAAUGCCCGGCACAAAGGGACGCAAAAGCGCAAGCUCGAGCAAAUCCCAUAAAACCGGGCCCAGUUCAGAUUGCCGUCUGCGACUCGACGGCAUGAAGCCGGAAUCGCUAGUAAUGGCGCAUCAGCUACGGCGCCGUGAAUACGUUCCCAGGCCUUGUACACACCGCCCGUCACAUCAUGAAAGCCGGUUGUACCCGAAGUCGUCCUUCAAAAGACGCCGAAGGUAUGGCUGGUGAUUGGGAUGAAGUCGUAACAAGGUAACCGUAA
rnacentral:rRNA from 1 species